AACCUUAUGGACCUGCGGGCGUAUACCUGCGGAAGGAUCAUUACCGAGUUUACAACUCCCAAACCCAUGUGAACAUACCUAUCGUUGCUUCGGCGGAUCGCCCCGGGCGCCUUGCGUGCCCCGGAUCCAGGCGGCCGCCGGGGGACCUUAACUCUUGUUUUUACUGAGAAUCUUCUGAGUCGUUUUUACAAAUAAAUAAAAACUUUUAACAAUGGAUCU
rnacentral:misc_RNA from 1 species